rnacentral:rRNA from 1 species
UGGGGAAUAUUGCACAAUGGGCGAAAGCCUGAUGCAGCGACGCCGCGUGCGGGAUGAAGGCCUUCGGGUUGUAAACCGCUUUUAAUUGGGAGCAAGCGAGAGUGAGUGUACCUUUUGAAUAAGCACCGGCUAACUACGUGCCAGCAGCCGCGGUAAUACGUAGGGUGCAAGCGUUAUCCGGAAUUAUUGGGCGUAAAGAGCUCGUAGGCGGUUUGUCACGCCUGGUGUGAAAGUCCAUCGCUUAACGGUGGAUCUGCGCCGGGUACGGGCAGGCUAGAGUGCAGUAGGGGAGAUUGGAAUUCCCGGUGUAACGGUGGAAUGUGUAGAUAUCGGGAAGAACACCAAUGGCGAAGGCAGAUCUCUGGGCUGUUACUGACGCUGAGGAGCGAAAGCAUGGGGAGCGAACAGGAUUAGAUACCCUGGUAGUCCAUGCCGUAAAACGGUGGAUGCUGGAUGUGGGACCCUUCCACGGGUUCCGUGUCGGAGCUAACGCGUUAAGCAUCCCCGCCUGGGGAGUACGGCCGCAAGGCUAAA